UGGGAUAGCUCAGUUGGUAAAAGCACGAGGCUAUUAAUCUCAGGUUCGUGGGUUCGAUCCCCACGAGGGGGUGAA